CCUACGGGGGGCAGCAGUGGGGAAUAUUGGACAAUGGGCGAAAGCCUGAUCCAGCCAUGCCGCGUGUGUGAAGAAGGCCUUCGGGUUGUAAAGCACUUUCAGUGGGGAAGAAAGCCUUGGGGCUAAUACCCUCGAGGAAGGACAUCACCCACAGAAGAAGCACCGGCUAACUCCGUGCCAGCAGCCGCGGUAAUACGGAGGGUGCGAGCGUUAAUCGGAAUUACUGGGCGUAAAGCGCGCGUAGGCGGUCUGAUAAGCCGGUUGUGAAAGCCCCGGGCUCAACCUGGGAACGGCAUCCGGAACUGUCAGGCUAGAGUGCAGGAGAGGGAGGUAGAAUUCCCGGUGUAGCGGUGAAAUGCGUAGAGAUCGGGAGGAAUACCAGUGGCGAAGGCGGCCUUCUGGACUGACACUGACGCUGAGGUGCGAAAGCGUGGGUAGCAAACAGGAUUAGAUACCCCUGUAGUC
rnacentral:rRNA from 1 species